UGCGGGGGGGUGCCUAUACAUGCAGUCGAACGCGUUGGCCCAAUUGAUUGACGGUGCUUGCACCUGAUUGAUUUUGGUCGCCAACGAGUGGCGGACGGGUGAGUAACACGUAGGUAACCUGCCCAGAAGCGGGGGACAACAUUUGGAAACAGAUGCUAAUACCGCAUAACAGCGUUGUUCGCAUGAACAACGCUUAAAAGAUGGCUUCUCGCUAUCACUUCUGGAUGGACCUGCGGUGCAUUAGCUUGUUGGUGGGGUAACGGCCUACCAAGGCGAUGAUGCAUAGCCGAGUUGAGAGACUGAUCGGCCACAAUGGGACUGAGACACGGCCCAUACUCCUACGGGAGGCAGCAGUAGGGAAUCUUCCACAAUGGGCGCAAGCCUGAUGGAGCAACACCGCGUGAGUGAAGAAGGGUUUCGGCUCGUAAAGCUCUGUUGUUAAAGAAGAACACGUAUGAGAGUAACUGUUCAUACGUUGACGGUAUUUAACCAGAAAGUCACGGCUAACUACGUGCCAGCAGCCGCGGUAAUACGUAGGUGGCAAGCGUUAUCCGGAUUUAUUGGGCGUAAAGAGAGUGCAGGCGGUUUUCUAAGUCUGAUGUGAAAGCCUUCGGCUUAACCGGAGAAGUGCAUCGGAAACUGGAUAACUUGAGUGCAGAAGAGGGUAGUGGAACUCCAUGUGUAGCGGUGGAAUGCGUAGAUAUAUGGAAGAACACCAGUGGCGAAGGCGGCUACCUGGUCUGCAACUGACGCUGAGACUCGAAAGCAUGGGUAGCGAACAGGAUUAGAUACCCUGGUAGUCCAUGCCGUAAACGAUGAGUGCUAGGUGUUGGAGGGUUUCCGCCCUUCAGUGCCGGAGCUAACGCAUUAAGCACUCCGCCUGGGGAGUACGACCGCAAGGUUGAAACUCAAAGGAAUUGACGGGGGCCCGCACAAGCGGUGGAGCAUGUGGUUUAAUUCGAAGCUACGCGAAGAACCUUACCAGGUCUUGACAUCUUGCGCCAACCCUAGAGAUAGGGCGUUUCCUUCGGGAACGCAAUGACAGGUGGUGCAUGGUCGUCGUCAGCUCGUGUCGUGAGAUGUUGGGUUAAGUCCCGCAACGAGCGCAACCCUUGUUACUAGUUGCCAGCAUUAAGUUGGGCACUCUAGUGAGACUGCCGGUGACAAACCGGAGGAAGGUGGGGACGACGUCAGAUCAUCAUGCCCCUUAUGACCUGGGCUACACACGUGCUACAAUGGACGGUACAACGAGUCGCGAACUCGCGAGGGCAAGCAAAUCUCUUAAAACCGUUCUCAGUUCGGACUGCAGGCUGCAACUCGCCUGCACGAAGUUGGAAUCGCUAGUAAUCGCGGAUCAGCAUGCCGCGGUGAAUACGUUCCCGGGCCUUGUACACACCGCCCGUCACACCAUGAGAGUUUGUAACACCCAAAGUCGGUGGGGUAACCUUUUAGGAACCAGCCCGCCGUA
rnacentral:rRNA from 1 species